AAGCCCCUGUGAGGGGGUGAAGCCCCUCCACGGGCAGAGCGCCAGGCAGAGAGCCCCGCACAAAGCGAACUUUGUGUGCGGCGCUCACGUGAGGCGCUCGGGGCCCUCGGAAUCCCGAGGGAUCAGGCACUGAGGUUGGAAAAGACCUCUGAGAUCAUCGAGUGCAGCUUGUGACCGAUCACCACCUUCUCCACCAGACCACAGCCAUGAGUGCCAUGUCCAGUCGUUCCUUGCACACCCCCGGCGAUGGGGACUCCUUCCCUGGGCAGCCCUUUCCGAUGUUUUAUCGCCCUUUCAGUUAACAAAUUCCUCCUGGUGUCCAGCCUGAGCCUCUCCUGGCCCAGCCAGGGGCCGUUCCCUCUCCUCCUGUCCCUGUUCUCCGGGAGCUGUAAAUUCGGAAGGAAAAUCAGUUAGAUUUAACUCGCAUUUCCUUACCCAGGGAGUAAAUCUCAAAAGAGUGAUUGCGUUAUUGUUCUCAAGCCUAAGCUGAGUACUUAUUUAGGUUAAAAAUAGCUAAAAAUCAUAUCUGGCCAAGCUUUGGUGCUAGGCCAUUUCAUCCAUCUUAAGCACUUUCUUCUUCAACAGUGAAGGUCAAUACAUAAUCCAUCAAAGAUGUGUUUCAUGGUAAAUUUAAAUACUUUUGAAAUGCAAUGUAGUAAAAACUGCGUCAAUUAAACCACCAUAUAUUUUGUUCUUCUGAUUUUUAUCAGUCAUGUCACCAGCACUGGAGUAGGCAGUGUGUGGUAACCCUUAGGAGCAGCAGCUCCCCAAUUACUGCUGCUGUUAGCAGAGCUGAUAAAGGCAAUUAUGCCUGGAAACAAUUAAUUGUGUUAAAAGAGCCUAAGUUACAUGCAUCACUUGGCAUGCAGCACCUUCCUGGCCUGCUUUUGUCCCUGCGUGGGUGUGGGUGUGUGUAUUAUUUCCGUGUGUGUAACUCUGGAGAGAGAGCCAAAAGGAGCCAGGAGCCAAGGGAGCAGGGGAGGGAAUGGCCACAUGGUCCUUGUCCUUUGGAGUUGAUAUUUUUGAUCUAACUGGGAAAAAAAAAAAAAAAAAAAAAUCCAUAUAGUGACCAAAUACAAUUCUGAUGCAAUGAAAUUGCAGUCACACUCAGGAAGUGACCCAGCAGUUCCUGGCAGGACACUGUGAUGACGUGACAGCUUUAUGGUUGUUCUUUUGUCCUAUAACUAAACUCAGCUCCCCACACCUCCCACCCUCCUGAAAACCUUCUUUGUCAUUAUUAUCCACAGGGAAUAACAACCAGCAAGGUGACCCUGCUAGAGGAAGCCUUCCAGCCCUUUUGGCAGCUGGGUGCAGAUCCGAGGGUGCGCUCAGAGGGAGUUUUACCACUGCCUCGCUGUGUGAUCCUGAGUGGAGUUCUCAGAUUCUCUCAACCGUGGUGCCUUUUGCUGAAAAAGUGGGAUAAUAAGAACUGUUCAGUCACAGGUAGGAGGGUGCCUUCCCGUUCUGCAGUCUUCAUGGAAGAUAAAGGUUUUGUGACAGCACAUCACUGGGACAGGAUAUGAAGGAUUGCAGAUAAACCAGGAUUUUGGGCUACAGGGUUUAUCAAAUAUUGCAGUGCUGCAGGCUGGGAUUUAUCAUCUCCCCAGGCUUGGUUCCUAUUUGCCUUUGCUGAAAUCCUUUUGAAGGGUGACAGCAAUCGAGUACAUUAGAACUGUAAGCAGGCAAAGUACAGAAGUCAGGCUUUCUUAUUACAGGAGAAAUGGAAUAAAAAAUUGUGAAGAUUACAGGGGAAACCAUGUCAUGGUGAAUAAGAAGUCAGGCUCCAGUCUUGGGGAGAACUGGCAUCCAGACUGGUUUAAAUAAGAUGCUAGAUUUUUUUUUUUUUUUCCUAUUUAAACUUGAUCUUGAAUUUCCUCCUGUUACCUCAUAUCCUUUUAUGGUCAGUAGCGCUGCCCUCAUGCAUAUUUAUUAGAUUUAGACAUAUUUUGCAAGUCACCUUCACAUCUUACUUUCUUUUCCUGGACAAACAGGUUGGUUAUGUACACAUUGGAUUUGCAAAUCUCAUCUCUGGUGUACAUUAACCCCUAUUAGUCUGGUUGCUCAAUGUGCAGAUAAGUUUUGGGGCUUAUUUGCAAUUUAACUUCCUUCUGUAUAUUAAGCACAGCCCAUACUUCUGUUUAGUUUUCACAACCCAGAUUCCUUCACACAUGGACAUGACCUGCAUAUUCAGCAUCCUGGCAGAGAAACAGCUGUUCUGUGUGAGAGAUCAGUGCCCCUGCUGUCUGAGAGAGAGCAGGAAUUAGGUGUUUGUAAUGUACUCCUUCCUUUCAGGGAGCUGCAGGUGUCAGAAAAGCAGCAGGUUUAUUUACCUGCACUUAUUUUCUUUGCCUUAAGCUCACAGUGAAUUUGGAAUAGAAGAGGUAGAUUUUGUUUUUUCUCCCCAGACUAAACCACAUCUCUGAACCCGAGCUAGAAGCACUUUGUGUUUGCUUGUGGCACUUCCAGACCUGCUGAAGGCCUAGAAAGAGCAGCCACUGAAACACACAGUUGGUUAUUGAGGCAGAAGUUGGUGUGGCAGGGGACAAGUUGUUGGAAUAAACACAGCUGUGUUUUUUUGUUUUUUUCCAUCACUGUGUGCUCAUUUACUGGGUCAGUCAGCCACAGACCCUGGCUGUGCAAAGGUACAGGGUAAAUCCCUGUCCCUGGGGAAGCACUGGGGACUGUAGGAUCCACUCUUCUCAAAUUUCACCUUGGAUGGGGUUCACUGUUGUUUAAAUCAAAUAAAGCUGUGGUUAUACCUAUUA